CAUUACACCGGUUCUCAUACGAUCAGCGAAGUUAGGCAACGUCGAGCCUUGUCAUUACCUAGAUGGGUGAUCGCUUCGGAAUACCAGAUGCUGUAAG